rnacentral:rRNA from 1 species
UACGGGAGUGGCAAGCGUUAUCCGGAAUUAUUGGGCGUAAAGCGCGCGUAGGUGGUUUGUUAAGUUGGAUGUGAAAGCCCUGGGCUCAACCUAGGAACUGCAUCCAAAACUUAUAAACUAGAGUACGAAAGAGGAGAGUAGAAUUCAUGGUGUAGCGGUGAAAUGCGUAGAGAUCAUGAGGAAUACCAGUGGCGAAGGCGGCCUCCUGGAUCUGUACUGACACUGAGGUGCGAAAGCGUGGGUAGCGAACAGG